rnacentral:lncRNA from 1 species
CUACUAGGAUUGUUGUUUGUUACUAUACGGUAUUGUUGAACAUGAUGAUUGAUACAUAAGCCUCUUCAGUGUUUGAUCACUAUUUAAAUCAUGACAUAUUGUGCAUGAUGCAUAAAACGUGAUUAUUAGAAAUUGCAUACAGGUUUGGCCCUUCGUUUUACCUUGGUAAUAGCGAAUAGGGUUAUUCUAGUGAGUCCUGAGCUCAAGAGGAUGACCCGAAUGUCAAAUUUGGGUAAAUGGGCCUUUGGGUUAGAUUCGUGAAAUGGGU